AGGCAAUGGUGAGGGCAAUCACGUUCAUACUCCUUAAAACGUUCCCAGGCUUCAUAGAAAGAUUCAGUCGGUCCCUGCAGAAAGCAUGAGAUCUUUGUUCUCCACAAGUUU
rfam:Eutrema salsugineum unplaced genomic scaffold scaffold_18, whole genome shotgun sequence.